rnacentral:lncRNA from 1 species
AAAAAAAAAAAAAAAAAAAGAAAAAAAAAAAAAAAAAAAAAAAAAAAAAAAAAAAAAAAAAAAAAAAAAAAAAAAAAAAAAAAAAAAAAAAAAAAAAAAAAAAAAACACAAAAAACAAAAAAAAAAAAAAAAAGAAAAAAAAAAAAAAAAAAAAAAGAAAAUAAAAAAAAAAAAAAAAAAAAAAAAAAAAAAAAACAAAAAAAAAAAAAAAAAAAACAAAAAAAAAAA